rnacentral:sRNA from 12 species
UAUCUCUCCGUACGGGGAAGGAUGAGAAGCUUCGACUAAGGUUCGAUUCGAGCGAAAGCGAGAAAGCGUUGCCAACGGCAACGACCCGAAGGGCGAAGCGCGCAGCGCUGAGUCAACCUUCCCCCACCACCA